rnacentral:rRNA from 1 species
ACCUGGCGACAGGGAGCGGAACCCGAAAGCCUGUCUCAGUUCGGAUUGGAGUCUGCAACCCGACUCCAUGAAGCUGGAUUCGCUAGUAAUCGCGCAUCAGCCAUGGCGCGGUGAAUACGUUCCCGGGCCUUGUACACACCGCCCGUCAAGCCAUGGAAGCCGGGGGCGCUUGAAGUGCGUUGCCGCAAGGCGCGCCCUAGAGCGAAACCGGUGACUGGGGCUAAGUCGUAACAAGGUACC